AUUGAACGCUGGCGGCAUGCCUUACACAUGCAAGUCGAACGGCAGCAUGGAGAGCUUGCUCUCUGAUGGCGAGUGGCGAACGGGUGAGUAAUGCAUCGGAACGUACCGUGUAAUGGGGGAUAACGUAGCGAAAGUUACGCUAAUACCGCAUACGAACUGAGGGUGAAAGCAGGGGAUCGCAAGACCUGGGGUUAUACGAGCAGCCGAUGUCAGAUUAGCUAGUUGGUGAGGUAAAGGCUCACCAAGGCGACGAUCUGUAGCGGGUCUGAGAGGAUGAUCCGCCAAACUGGGACUGAGACACGGCCCAGACUCCUACGGGAGGCAGCAGUGGGGAAUUUUGGACAAUGGGGGCAACCCUGAUCCAGCCAUGCCGCGUGAGUGAAGAAGGCCUUCGGGUUGUAAAGCUCUUUCGGCCGGGAAGAAAUCGCACAGGCUAAUACUCUGUGUGGAUGACGGUACCGGCAUAAGAAGCACCGGCUAACUACGUGCCAGCCGCCGCCGUAA
rnacentral:rRNA from 1 species